AACGAACCUCCGCGGCAUGCCUAACACAUGCAAGUCGAACGAGACCUUCGGGUCUAGUGGCGCACGGGUGCGUAACGCGUGGGAACCUGCCCUUAGGUUCGGAAUAACUCCCCGUAAGGGGUCUUAAUACCGGAUAAUGUCUUCGGACCAAAGAUUUAUCGCCUUUGGAUGGGCCCGCGUUGGAUUAGCUAGUUGGUAGGGUAAAAGCCUACCAAGGCGACGUUCCAUAGCUGGUCUGAGAGGAUGAUCAGCCACACUGGGACUGAGACACGGCCCAGACUCCUACGGGAGGCAGCAGUAGGGAAUAUUGGACAAUGGGCGAAAGCCUAAUCCAGCAAUGCCGCGUGAGUGAUGAAGGCCUUAGUGUGGUAAAGCUCUUUUACCCGGGAUGAUAAUGACAGUACCGGGAAAAUAAGCUCGGGCUAACUCCGUG
rnacentral:rRNA from 1 species